UUUCCUUGGCAACCGGCAGAAACAUUCUGAGAACCAAAGUGAUGGAGUGUUGACUUGGGUGCAAGAAAAAGUCUAUCAAGCCUGGUCCACACAAUGAGAGCAUGAGAAAGUCAGCCCUGAGCAAACACACCACGCUGCAGCACUAUCUGGACUGCCUUCUGGACUAGUGCCACCCCUUUGGAGCAAGGGAGAAGCUGAGACCUAGUUAUAGCGGAGACAGAAUUUGGGAUUUCCUCUGCUCCUGUGGACCAGGUCCUGGCCCUUCUUUGGGGCAGACUGCGAAGUGCCAAUCUGAUCCAUAGCUGGUGGGAUUGAUUGCAUAAGAAAAGAUCACGUGUCAGCCACUAGUUAACAGGAGGAGUAAGCGGAGUCGACGGGGGAGCCGCAGCAGUCGACUUGCCGCCGUGAGGACGGCCAGUGAUAAUCCUGUGGCAGGCUGUGCCAGUUCAUGCUUGACUAGACAGUUAAGACCUCCUGCUGUCUGGCUCUGUCUUUGUUUUGUAUAAUUGUUCCAAAUAAUUAGCCACCAGCGCAUGCUAUUCUGAGACCUCUUUGUGCUGCCAUGAUACUUAGGGGGGAAGCGUCAGAUGGAAGAGACUCGGCAUAAAAGAAAGAUUUUCAGC